AGCGAACUGGGCCGAAUACGCCCUGAACCGGCCUUUCAAGCCGGUAACGCGGGUUCGAAUCCCGUCGGGGCUACCA
rnacentral:tRNA from 1 species